UGGGGAAUAUUGCACAAUGGGCGCAAGCCUGAUGCAGCCAUGCCGCGUGUGUGAAGAAGGCCUUCGGGUUGUAAAGCACUUUCAGCGAGGAGGAAGGUGGUGAACUUAAUACGUUCAUCAAUUGACGUUACUCGCAGAAGAAGCACCGGCUAACUCCGCGCCAGCAGCCGCGUGNNGGAGGGUGCAAGCGUUAAUCGGAAUUACUGGGCGUAAAGCGCACGCAGGCGGUUUGUUAAGUCAGAUGUGAAACCCCCGGGCUCAACCUGGGAACUGCAUUUGAAACUGGCAAGCUAGAGUCUCGUAGAGGGGGGUAGAAUUCCAGGUGUAGCGGUGAAAUGCGUAGAGAUCUGGAGGAAUACCGGUGGCGAAGGCGGCCCCCUGGACGAAGACUGACGCUCAGGUGCGAAAGCGUGGGGAGCAAACAGGAUUAGAUACCCUGGUAGUCCACGCUGUAAACGAUGUCGAUUUGGAGGUUGUGCCCUUGAGGCGUGGCUUCCGGAGCUAACGCGUUAAAUCGACCGCCUGGGGAGUACGGCCGCAAGGUUAAAACUC
rnacentral:rRNA from 1 species